GUGUUUGUUUCAGCAGCACAUAUAUUGAAGCCUGAAACGAUUUACAGAAGAGUAGCAUGUUCUCUGUGCAAGGAUGACACACAAAUUCUGAAGUGUUCCAUAUUUUU
ensembl:snRNA U6 U6 spliceosomal RNA